CUAUAACAAAACUUACGUGAAGAAGAAAAGAAAAAAUAAUCCGGCGUUACUCUUCACUUGUGAAAAGCUUGAAGUGGUGGAGGAGCUCCUGGCUGGACUGCAGAACAUCAAACUGGGUGAAGGAAAGAGUGAGGAGUGAGCGACGGAUCGGAGAGAGAGAGGUGUUGUCCAGGACCCGAACCAGAAGGGGCCUCUGCAAAGCGUUGCAUAGAAACCAUGCUUAUCCUCACAAGGUUUGCGGGAGUGCUGGAACCAGCUGUCAACGGGCAGGAGGUGGGGUACACCCUGAACUGGUUGCCAGCUAAUCACAAUCAUUAUCAACAAUGAUUGAACGAGAGACCAAAAUUCUCUGAGAAUCCCUAACCCAGUCGCCGCUUGUGAUUCAUACUCUAUAAGCUGUCUUCACUGCGAUGUUUUUGGGACGUCUGCACAGUGAAUGAGAAUACUGGGGAGACGAGACCCAAGGGGGGGUCGCAACAGUGAUGAGCUUUUUACCGUAAUCAUGCGAGAAGCUGGCCGGAAGAGAGGAAACCGCUUUGGGCGGAAGCCAGCGUUGCAGAACAAUAACUUUGCAGAGACGUCAGAGAGCUUCAGCCCCCAAACAGAGACGCUGAUGCACUGUUUUCUUUGGCCUCGUGCUUGAUAAGUGUGUGGACUUAACUGGAUAUGACAGAGGCCGGGUGCAGCAACAAGUCCAUGCCACGCUCUUAGUCAUUUGACGCCGCGAUACCGGCACCACCUGUCUGCCCUUCGUGCUCGGACAUCAUCAAGGGACUUUACCACAUGAAUGAAAUGGGAAACCACUCCAGUGUGUCACAUCAAUUGAAGGGAAAUUAAAAACUGCGUCUUCACUUUUAA